CGACAAGACUGGCAACAGGGUACAACUUUUGUACUUGACGUUGCUUGAUGCACCAUGGGAGGUCAUCUUCGGUUACAGCUGGGGUUCAGCAGCCCUAGCUUAUCUUUAUAGAAGAUUGUGUGAAGCUUCACGGAAGAACGUGAAAGAUAUCGCUGGGCCCUUGAUUAUUCUGCAGCUUUGGGCGUGGGAGCACAUUCUUAUUGGUCAACCGAUGAGGAGUGUGGGACGUGGUGCAUAUGCGCCACCAAUUCUUCCACCCCCAUAUGUGUCAUAUGGAUCGUGGUUGUCCUUUGAAAGACGUACAAGGACCCACACAGGAUCGGGCGUGGGGUUCUAACGCGAUCAACUCGAUCUACUUCGAGCUGACCAGUUUCGAUGGGACCCUUACCCCGCUGAGGCAUACGCUGCUUUGCCUCAGCAUUCAGGAUUAUUGUUAGGGGCGUGGAGAGCAUCUGUACCUUUGAUUUGCUUUGACAUAGUCGAAGUGCAUCUUCCUGAGCGCGUACUGCGACAAUUUGGGAUGGUACAGGGUAUCCCGCCGCCCUGUGACACAGAGGCGGAGCUCCAUCACAGCUCACGCAAGGGUUGGGAUCCCAAGAACGGGCUCGAGAUCAACUGGUGCCAUGUCGCUCGUUGGAAGCACAGGCUAGAGCUACUGGCCCAAGGUGCGCCGAUCGAGGCUAUAGGCGCACCUACUUCGCCGAAUUACAUGCCGUGGUUCCUCUCCAUUAGUCGUCGAUGAAUGACACCACGAGGUAUCAUCACGGCAGCCCAGUACGCUCCCGCAGCACCGACGAUGGCACACUUUGCACAGGGCAUUGCAUCUGUCAUCAGCUCCACCCAAGAGGAGCCUGUACGGGAGAUUGCCCAAGGCAUACUCCUAGGGACGCAGUUUUAGCACUUCAUUCCAGAAGUGACUGUGCCCGACACCACUAUGUACAAGUACGGGUCAUCUCCUCAUCAUGCCAACGUUCAUCUUGAGGAGGUUGACUUAACGUGCCCCGACUAUGGUGCCGGGUCCUCGCAAGGUGCUACAUCAUCACAGUAUCAAUCACCUCCCCUACCCGAGCGUCAUGCGACGGCCUCUUACUAUCGUAGGAGGCGUCGUAAACCGUCACAGUUAGACAAGGUACAGGAGGAGGAUUAACAUUAGAAUUCUGUUUGUAUAUAUUGAACAUUAGUGGCAUUUUGUAUAUAUUGAACAUUUGUAC